GAGACUAGGACGUUGAUAGGUUGGAUGUGGAAGCAUAGUGAUAUGUGAAGCUGACCAAUACUAAUUGCUCGUGAGGCUUGACUAUACAACACCCA
rnacentral:rRNA from 1 species